rnacentral:rRNA from 1 species
AGUGAACGCUGGCGGUAGGCCUAACACAUGCAAGUCGAACGGCAGCACAGUAAGAGCUUGCUCUUACGGGUGGCGAGUGGCGGACGGGUGAGGAAUAUAUCGGAAUCUACUUUUUCGUGGGGGAUAACGUAGGGAAACUUACGCUAAUACAGCAUACGACCUACGGGUGAAAGCAGGGGAUCUUCGGACCUUGCGCGAUUGAAUGAGCCGAUGUCGGAUUAGCUAGUUGGCGGGGUAAAGGCCCACCAAGGCGACGAUACGUAGCUGGUCUGAGAGGAUGGUCAGCCGCACUGGAACUGGAACACGGUCCAGACUCCUGCGGGAGGCAGCAGUGGGGAAUAUUGGACAAUGGGCGCAAGCCUGAUCCAGCCAUACCACGUGGGUGAAGAAGGCCUUCGGGUUGUAAAGCCCUUUUGUUGGUAAAGAAAAGCAGCAGGUUAAUACCCCGCUGUUCUGACGGUACCCAAAGAAUAAGCACCGGCUAACUUCGUG